rnacentral:rRNA from 1 species
UACGAAGGGGGCUAGCGUUGCUCGGAAUGACUGGGCGUAAAGAGCUCGUAGGCGGUCUGUCGCGUCUGCUGUGAAAACUCGGGGCUUAACCCCGGGCCUGCAGUGGGUACGGGCAGACUAGAGUGCGGUAGGGGAGACUGGAAUUCCUGGUGUAGCGGUGAAAUGCGCAGAUAUCAGGAGGAACACCGGUGGCGAAGGCGGGUCUCUGGGCCGUAACUGACGCUGAGGAGCGAAAGCGUGGGGAGCGAACAGG